AGCGCAGAAGAAGGAGGAGGCGUCGUGUGGAACGGCGAGGCAAGAGGGAGCGGCAGAUGGAAGACGGGCAAAGAGGAGGACACCCUGGGCAAAGGCUUCGCCCUGUUAGCGGGGCUGUAGGUAGAGGAGAGCAGUGCUGGCACGUGAGGUGCCUGGAUUGUUUUGUGCUGGGCGACCUCCCUGUAAGCAGGGCUCGGGUCUUUGCGAUUGUAAUCGGCCUUUUGCCUUGUUGCUCCUUUGGCUGCCUGGGGGGAGCGGCCCCCUGUAAUCAGGGGCACAGCUGCUCUCUCCGCACCCGGGAGGACUGUGGAGCUUGCCGGACCCCAGGGCCUCCCUGUAGUCAGGGCAGAGCCAAUUCCCCACCCCCUUAAUUUUAGCCGUCUGGCUCUUUGUCUAAACUAUUUGUCUAAACGUGAUGGGCUAUGGAAACUUAGUAUAUGACUGAUGCCUACGCUAUAAUGCCAACUAUUGCAUAAAAAGCAAUAUAAAAGCGAUAUAUAUAUAAUAUGACCUCUAUGAAUACUGUGAAAACAGAUUCUCUAAAGGAGAUGAAUGAUAAAUUCUGAUGCAUGCUGUGUUUCAGCACCCCGUAGCUGGGGUGCGUUGUCCAAUUGGGUCUCGGCAGAAGCCGUUUCGGCUUCUGGACGUCUCUGGCAUCACUGUAAUUGAUGGUGCGUGGGGUACCGCCCUGUAAGCAGGGUCAAGCGUAGCCCCGUGUCUCUCGCUGCAAGGAGCCCCCAGUAGCCAGGUGGGUCUCCGUGUCCCCCGCUUUCCAUGGGCCUGGGGCCUCUAGAAGUAGGGCCGGGUUUUCACCCUCCCUGUAAGCAGGGCCUGGGGCCCGAGCCUCGGCAUUCGGCCGUCUGGCUCCACUGGCGGGGGAAAGGUUGAGCUCUGCGGUUCCAUGGGUGUUGCGGACCCGCCUUAGCAGGCUUUGGUCCGGAGCCUUUUGCUCCGCUGGCAGCUGUGGGGUGCCUGACCCGUUAGCGGGAUGCAGGCUUGUGGGUUCCCCACUUUGGGGAGAAGGAGCCUCCCGCGGCCUCUGGGCCCAGGGCAGCCCUGUAACUCAGGGUGCUGAUGCUCUGGUUCCCUGGGCACUUGAAAUUGUCAAUGGCUCCUCGGAGCCGCCCUGUAAGCCAGGGGUCCAGGCUCUUGGGCCGUUGCUGUGUGUGCCCAGCUUUCAUUUGCCCUUGGUGCCAGCCUUGGAGCCCUGCCGCAGCGCCGCAUGAAGGUCCUCUGCGUGUACAACACGCAGCCAGCGCAGAAGAAGGAGGAGGCGUCGUGUGGAACGGCGAGGCAAGAGCGAGCGGCAGAUGGAAGACGGGCAAAGAGGAGGACACCCUGGGCAAAGGCUUCGCCCUGUUAGCGGGGCUGUAGGUAGAGGAGAGCAGUGCUGGCACGUGAGGUGCCUGGAUUGUUUUGUGCUGGGCGACCUCCCUGUAAGCAGGGCUCGGGUCUUUGCGAUUGUAAUCGGCCUUUUGCCUUGUUGCUCCUUUGGCUGCCUGGGGGGAGCGGCCCCCUGUAAUCAGGGGCACAGCUGCUCUCUCCGCACCCGGGAGGACUGUGGAGCUUGCCGGACCCCAGGGCCUCCCUGUAGUCAGGGCAGAGCCAAUUCCCCACCCCCUUAAUUUUAGCCGUCUGGCUCUUUGUCUAAACUAUUUGUCUAAACGUGAUGGGCUAUGGAAACUUAGUAUAUGACUGAUGCCUACGCUAUAAUGCCAACUAUUGCAUAAAAAGCAAUAUAAAAGCGAUAUAUAUAUAAUAUGACCUCUAUGAAUACUGUGAAAACAGAUUCUCUAAAGGAGAUGAAUGAUAAAUUCUGAUGCAUGCUGUGUUUCAGCACCCCGUAGCUGGGGUGCGUUGUCCAAUUGGGUCUCGGCAGAAGCCGUUUCGGCUUCUGGACGUCUCUGGCAUCACUGUAAUUGUUGGUGCGUGGGGUACCGCCCUGUAAGCAGGGUCAAGCGUAGCCCCGUGUCUCUCGCUGCAAGGAGCCCCCAGUAGCCAGGUGGGUCUCCGUGUCCCCCGCUUUCCAUGGGCCUGGGGCCACUAGAAGUAGGGCAGGGUUUUCACCCUCCCUGUAAGCAGGGCUUGGGGCCCGAGCCUCGGCAUUCGGCCGUCUGGCUCCACUGGCGGGGGAAAGGUUGAGCUCUGCAGUUCCAUGGGUGUUGCGGACCCGCCUUAAGCAGGCUUUGGUCCGGAGCCUUUUGCUCCGCUGGCAGCUGUGGGGUGCCUGACCCGUUAGCGGGAUGCAGGCUUGUGGAUUCCCCACUUUGGGGAGAAGGAGCCUCCCGCGGCCUCUGGGCCCAGGGCAGCCCUGUAACUCAGGGUGCUGAUGCUCUGGUUCCCUGGGCACUUGAAAUUGUCAAUGGCUCCUCGGAGCCCCCCUGUAAGGCAGGGGUCCAGGCUCUUGGGCCGUUGCUGUGUGUGCCCAGCUUUCGUUUGCCCUUGGUGCCAGCCUUGGAGCCCUGCCGCAGCGACGCAUGAAGGUCCUCUGCGUGUACAACACGCAGCCAGCGCAGAAGAAGGAGGAGGCGUCGUGUGGAACGGCGAGGCAAGAGGGAGCGGCAGAUGGAAGACGGGCAAAGAGGAGGACACCCUGGGCAAAGGCAACACGCGUAUGCAGAAGAAAGAAAUAACAGAAUUCUAGGGCUUGGGAGCGACCUCGAGAGGCCAUCGCAUUCAAUACCGUUGGCAAAAAAGGUUCCCUUGAUGAAAUGGCAUAGGGAGGCAUCCAUACAAGUCAAAAAUAACUGCAGAGAAGGUAGCUGAGCAGCCUGGUGCAGUAUUCCAUCACCUUCCACCAUAGUGGUACAGAACUUCCUGUGCUGCAUUCUGUGGCCAUUGCCCCUUGUCCUGUCCUCACAGACAGGUGAAAUAUUCUUGGCCGUUUUCUUCUUCCUCUUACACUCCACUUACACUUCCUCUUACACACCACUGUAAUUCUGCAGGAAGAGAUUUAAACUCAGGUUAUUACUAAAACUGAAUGGAAAGCAGCUUCCCUGCUGCCCAGAGGAGAAACGAUAUACACUGUGUGAAGCCUCGUUUGGAAGCCUGCUUAUUUAAAUAGCAAUUGGGAACAAAAAAAACUCAAUUUUCUUGGAGAAUUUGGGGAUCUUUAGAAACUUUUUGUUUUCUGUUUAAUGUCAACCUUUUUCCAAGAAAGACAAUAAUACAAGCAUUUGAAAACCCCACCUCUGUCAAAAAGCACUGAAAUAGAAAAUUUCUAAAUAAACAUUGUUAUCAUGUUAUUAUUAAUGUGAUAUCCAUGAUUUCUCACUCCCACUUUCCUUCUCCCUUUCACCCCAACCUCAUUCAAAAAUGUCGUAUAAGCAUAAAACAGGUGUCUUCCUCCAUUUGGCCUUCUUUGAAGUUUGUAAGUGGUGAUUUGCCUUAUCUAUGCUAGAAAAAAAAUAUUAGCUGGUACUAAUAAAUAAUUCUGCUACAAGAUUUCAACCCCGAGGCAGAAGACGACCCUGAGGACACUUUUGUAUGGGACCAAAGAUGUUCUUGUCCCAUUCCACAGUUAAAUCUAGACCUCACUGGGAAUUUAGCUCCAGUGUGCCUUUCUGACGAAUCAUGAUUUCAGAAGUACCUCUGUUAAAUAGCCUGUCUUGUUUUCUGGCUAAAGGAACACUGCUGAAUAGCCCUCAAAAUGUCUAAUUUACCCUCAUUGUGGGCUGCUGUAGUGGUUACUCAGUGGACAGCAAUGCAGUCCAUGUAAAGAGAGGCUUCAGUGGUGCUCUGCCUUGCUGAUAGCACUUGUCUGAGCUCCUGCUGCUGGCUGAAUUAAUUGCUGGAUCCUUGUGCAGUAGCAUUGUAAAGGAAGCACACAGAUAUGAUGCAAAUUCCAUUCUGAUGCUAUAAUGAAUGUUUGAUGGCAAUGUUAAAUUGCCACUAGAUGAACUAUAUACAGUGUAAAAUGCAGCCUUGCAAGAGGAUUGUCCUGGAGAAAUACUUGUCUGCAAUAAGCUUUUGCUUCCUAAUUAAAAACAGAGCGAGUGCCAGCACCGGGUGUGGAGGUGAAUCUGAUUAUAUAAAAGAAAGUCACCGGUCAGGCACUGAUUUGCAAGGAGAAGCGAUCAGAAAGGGACACAGCAAUGAACGAAACCA